rnacentral:lncRNA from 10 species
AAAAAAGCGAAAGCAAACUCAAAGGUGCUUCCCCAGAAAUACCAGAAAUACAGAAAGUAAGAGAAUUCUGAUGGUGUGGACUUGACAUAUGUAAAGAAGUAGGGGGACAGCUUGCACAGGUGAUUUCCAAGGGCAUGAAAUAUUUCUUCUACAGUUAGUUAUAAGUUCUGCUAUAUCCCUACAGGAGGAAUUAAGCAUGUGGAAGGGAAAGAAAGCUCCAGCUGCCCUGGUUCAUAUGAGCAACAGGACCCAAUCUUUUCAGCUGGGUAAAAUGAAAAUCAGCAGGAGCUGCAUCUUUAUUCUGAUACCUGCUGAUCUCCCACUCAUGAUGUAAUAGUACAGGACACAGCUCAGAAGGUGCCAUCUUUGAAGCAGAGAGGGAGCCCUCACCAGACACCAAAUCUGCUACUGCCUUUGUCUUGGACUCUCCAGCCUCCAGAACUGUAAGCAAGAAAUUUCUGUUAUCUACAAAUUAUCCAGUUGAUAAGGUUUGGCUCUGUGUGCCCACCCAAAUCUCAUCUUGAAUGGUAAUCCCCAGUGUUGGGGGAAGGGACCUGGUGGGAGGUAAUUGGAUGAUAGUGGUGGUUUCCCCUUGCUGUUCUCUUAAUAGUCAGGGAGUUCUCACAAGAUCUGAUGGUUUAAAAAUGUGUGGCACU